rnacentral:rRNA from 1 species
UACAGAGGUCUCGAGCGUUGUUCGGAUUCAUUGGGCGUAAAGGGUGCGUAGGUGGUCUGGUAAGUCGGAUGUGAAAUCCCCGGGGGCUUAACCUCGGAACUGCAUUCGAUACUGCCCGGACUGGAGUACUGGAGAGGAGAUCGGAAUUUACGGUGUAGCAGUGAAAAUGCGUAGAUAUCGUAAGGAAGACCAGUGGCGAAGGCGGAUCUCUGGGGACGGUACUGACGCUGAGACGCGAAAGCUAGGGAGCAAAGCA